GACGAACGCUGGCGGCGUGCUUAACACAUGCAAGUCGAACGGUGAAGCGCCUUCCUUUUUGGUGGGUGUGGAUGAGUGGCGAACGGGUGAGUAACACGUGAGUAACCUGCCCCCUUCUUCUGGAUAACCGCAUGAAAGUGUGGCUAGUACGGGAUAUUCUGGGUCUGUCGCAUGAUGGGUCUGGGAAAGAUAUUGUUUCGGUGGGGGGUGGGCUCGCGGCCUAUCAGCUUGUUGGUGGGGUGAUGGCCUACCAAGGCGGUGACGGGUAGCCGGCCUGAGAGGGUUGACGGUCACACUGGGACUGAGACACGGCCCAGACUCCUACGGGAGGCAGCAGUGGGGAAUAUUGCACAAUGGGCGCAAGCCUGAUGCAGCGACGCCGCGUGAGGGAUGGAGGCCUUCGGGUUGUGAACCUCUUUCGCCAGUGAAGCAGGCCUGCCUCGUUUGUGGGUGGGUUGACGGUAGCUGGAUAAGAAGCGCCGGCUAACUACGUG
rnacentral:rRNA from 1 species